GGAACAAGCAGAGAUACUGAGCGCAUUGUGUGGUGCAUUGCAACAUGAUUCAAUCGAGUGAUGAAACUGUGAUGCCGUGAAAUGGUGUUGCUUCCUAUUGCAAUCUCAUGAAUGAUGUAUCAAUGUGCGAGCUCGUCUCCGAGUUUUAGCUAUAGACACUGACAGAAAGGUCUGCUCGGUUCAAUCUCUAGAUUUGCUUCGACAUCUGCGAGACCUCUUCAUGGCGGGUAGAAGGCACUUUUGCGAAUUUACACUGAAGACGUCGAGAAUGGAGUUUACAGUUUGGUGGGCAUGGAGCUUUCCAAAGCAGUAGGGAGGAUGAAACCAUGGCAGCGGUCGCCCUCAAACCCAGAAAGCGUGCAGAAGUAAACGCGCCGUCGUCAGUUGUGCGGGUGCAACGAUGAGGCGGGCAAGAUGCUUGCGUGUUGCAAGCUACGACGAUCUGUGGCAGCAGCAGCAUAUGAUGGAGAGAUCCUGCAACGCUCAGACCUUCACACACACGUCGAUCAGAAAGCUAUUACUCUUUCACGAUCAGGAAGGAGCGUUGUGAUCGGUUUCAAGAGAGCAGUUGCAGUUUGUUUUUGGUUUCAUGACAUGAAGUUUACUUGAGUUGUUUGUUUAAGUUGUUUUCUUAGUUGUUGUUUUACCGUAUCGAAGCGUGUUUGAGGUUCUCAUGCUGCUUGGGUUGCAGCGAUCAGAAGCUUUUACGAAGUUUUAUCACCUUGCAGGGAUUGGGUUAGAAUUGUUUUAGGAUCCAGGCACUGAUCAAGAUUAGGACCUAAAGUAGCUGGUCUAAUAAGUAGCACCUUGACAAGAGGGCCUAUUUAGUGGGCCGUUGAAAAACAGUGUUGUUAGAAAUGGUUUAAAGAAAGUUAGGACAAGUUAGGAAGAGUCAAACCAUGACUUUGGCAAUUUGGCUUUGAGAUCUGCCAAUAGUGAGAAAGGCAUGAAAGAGGGUAUUUCUUGGUAACCAGAGGAAAAUGUGCACUCUGCUUCAUUUAAGAAUAUUAGUUUAAAUUGUAAAAACAUAAUUAAAAUAUUAAAUUAUAUA